rnacentral:rRNA from 1 species
GCGGCAAAAGCUCAAAUUUGAAAUCUGGUACCUUCGGUGCCCGAGUUGUAAUUUGGAGAGGGCAACUUUGGGGCCGUUCCUUGUCUAUGUUCCUUGGAACAGGACGUCAUAGAGGGUGAGAAUCCCGUGUGGCGAGGAGUGCGGUUCUUUGUAAAGUGCCUUCGAAGAGUCGAGUUGUUUGGGAAUGCAGCUCUAAGUGGGUGGUAAAUUCCAUCUAAAGCUAAAUAUUGGCGAGAGACCGAUAGCGAACAAGUACAGUGAUGGAAAGAUGAAAAGAACUUUGAAAAGAGAGUGAAAAAGUACGUGAAAUUGUUGAAAGGGAAGGGCAUUUGAUCAGACAUGGUGUUUUGUGCCCUCUGCUCCUUGUGGGUAGGGGAAUCUCGCAUUUCACUGGGCCAGCAUCAGUUUUGGUGGCAGGAUAAAUCCAUAGGAAUGUAGCUUGCCUCGGUAAGUAUUAUAGCCUGUGGGAAUACUGCCAGCUGGGACUGAGGACUGCGACGUAAGUCAAGGAUGCUGGCAUAAUGGUUAUAUGCCG